rnacentral:rRNA from 1 species
GUGACCUCAAAUCAGGUAGGACUACCCGCUGAACUUAAGCAUAUCAAUAAGCGGAGGAAAAGAAACUAACAAGGAUUCCCCUAGUAACUGCGAGUGAAGCGGGAAAAGCUCAAAUUUAAAAUCUGGCGGUCUUUUGGCUGUCCGAGUUGUAAUCUAGAGAAGUGUUAUCCGCGCUGGACGG